rnacentral:rRNA from 1 species
GAUGAACGCUGGCGGCGUGCCUAAUACAUGCAAGUCGAGCGAACAGACGAGGAGCUUGCUCCUCUGACGUUAGCGGCGGACGGGUGAGUAACACGUGGAUAACCUACCUAUAAGACUGGGAUAACUUCGGGAAACCGGAGCUAAUACCGGAUAAUAUAUUGAACCGCAUGGUUCAAUAGUGAAAGACGGUUUUGCUGUCACUUAUAGAUGGAUCCGCGCCGCAUUAGCUAGUUGGUAAGGUAACGGCUUACCAAGGCAACGAUGCGUAGCCGACCUGAGAGGGUGAACCGGCCCCCCGGAAACGAGAACCCGGCCCAAACCCCUAGGGGGGGCACAGGUGGGAAAUCUUCCGCAAGGGGGAAAGGCCGAAGGGGCCAACCCGCGGGAGGGAUGAAGGUUUUUGGAUCUGAAAACCCUGUUUUUUGGGAAAAAAAAAAUUGUAAGUAAAUUUGCCCGUUUUGAAGGUACCCAAAUAAAAAGCCCCGGCUAAACUCGUG